GUGAAGCUUAAAGGGUUUGGGGGACAAUUGGCCCAAGCCCAAUUCUUUACCCUCCACUUAACUAGACACAAGGGUAUUGCGAUAACUAGCUAGUAACCUUUGCUAUGUGUGGAAGUCAUUUAAAGUUGUGAAUCAAUCGUUAAAGUUGUUAAAAUUUCUCCCGUUAUUGCAUUAGUUCCCUUCUGUCUACUUUAAACAUGUGUAAGUUUUAAAACUGUUUCAUCAUUUAAAGAUAGAUUUAAGUUAAGAUUUUGCCGAUUUAGGAGCAUUUUAGAUUUAAAAAAUUUACUUAGGUUCGCUAGGAAGGAUCUCUACAUCAGGGCCUUCCUGAGAGGUCUACUGCUUUAAGAUGGCGGCUGUUUACAAACGCAUGUAGUCCUUAAAACAUGUUGGCAAUGCAGCAGUGUCUGUCAUUUGCAUCUAGUUCUAUAAUAUGAUAUCUACCGUUUCAUGUGGGCGUAGUUUGUCGGCUAUGGCUGCAGUCAGGUAUUAUUGGAGCCAUCUAGCAUCGCGGUUGCAACGGCGCCGUCUUCCCCACUCCUGCUCUGCUCUCGUCCCCGAUGUGUGAAAAGAUGCCCAACCUCCAACCCUUCCCCAUGACUGACUCUGGUCCAGCACAUAAAGCAUCCAGUAAUUAUUCAACUGAGAAGGCCAAACAAUGAAAGUAUGUUGUAACCGAAGAAGCAUGAUGACGGACAAAUGAGAUGGAGAUGAGGCUUGCAAAUCAGGCAGGUUUCGCUUGGGCGAGCUUGAAGAAUGCCCAUGUGGCGGGAAAUGAAGGCACUACUUUCAUCACAUGCAGCCCCACUCACUUCCAUCUUCCAAAGACGCCAACCUUCCAAUUUAUUCCCCAGGAUUACUUCCUCCCUUAUUUGCUGGAAACAUUCUUUAGAAGAAAGUGGACAGUUCAGUUCAUUUAAAAUUCAACUCAACCUCAUCAGCCCCCACCACGAUAAACCCCCUCUGUACCCGCUCUUGUCUCCCAGCAUUAGCAUUGUGACUGUCAGGGGUACUUCACUAACACACGCAGACCCCCAGCAGCAAGUAGUCCCUGCUGCUUUAAGGGGCAACAGCUAAUUAGUCAUAAUGACUUCUAUUUUGUCCUGGGUUCGCAUCACAUGUUAGAUCCCAAGUGCUUUGGGGGGAAACCCGGACAAUUUCCCCCAUACGAUUUGUCUUAAUAGAAGGGGGGCGGAUAAUAGAAUUACUGUAUUUUGUUUUUUUCCCACUGAUUGAUAA